UACAGAGGUCUCAAGCGUUGUUCGGAUUCAUUGGGCGUAAAGGGUGCGUAGGCGGCGCGGUAAGUCGGGUGUGAAAUCUCGGAGCUUAACUUCGAAACUGCACUCGAUACUGCCGUGCUUGAGGACUGGAGAGGAGACUGGAAUUUACGGUGUAGCGGUGAAAUGCGUAGAUAUCGUAAGGAAGACCAGUGGCGAAGGCGGGUCUCUGGACAGUUCCUGACGCUGAGGCACGAAGGUCAGGGGAGCAAACGGG
rnacentral:rRNA from 1 species